CCUAGAACAAGAGAGGAAGAGGGAGCCAUGAGGGACAGAGGAGGCGUGAAGAAGAAGAAGGGAAGGAGAAGAGAAGAAGAGGAGGAGCGCCGCUGCAGGCUAUCCAGCGCCACGCCAAGAGAAGGAAGAGCCAAGGAGGGGAAUCCGGGGAGAAGGAGGAGCGCCUCCCGGAACACGUCGCGACCGUCGGAUCAGCGCCCUGUACGACAACCUCGACGCUCGUGAGCGGCACGGCACAGCACUAGCUCGUCCCUCCACUGACUCGGCACUGCGUCGCGCCCGUCUCCCUCGAGCCGCGCCGGUCCUGACGAGAAGGAGUUGAUCAACGUUCUGAGCAACCAGCGGAUACAGAAGGACCACCCCAACACUCAGAGGAUUCAGAAGGACGUAUCGGUCGACCAGAAGACGUUAGAGACCGAGGAAGGCUAUGAAGACCUAUCAGCCUGAUAGAUGCAGGAUUCGAGUGAAAGGAGUCGAUAGGACGACAAAGGAAGAUGUGAAGGAUGGCCCGAGCUACACUCCGAGCUACCUAUGGAGAGUAUUCGUGAAGAUGUAGUUUGCCAAGAAGACUAGAUAUCGUUUCUGCUUUCUGUUAGUUUUCUUUUAGCCCAAGGGGCUUGUACUCUGAGAUUCGUAAUACAAUCCUUUGGAUUAUGUAAUAAAUAAACCCAUGUGAUGUUGUAAAUGUGAGUUAUGCCUGUGAUAUUCGAUUGAAAUGAGUUCU